GACGAACGCUGGCGGCGUGCUUAACACAUGCAAGUCGAACGGAAAGGCCCUGCUUGCAGGGUACUCGAGUGGCGAACGGGUGAGUAACACGUGGGUGAUCUGCCCUGCACUUCGGGAUAAGCCUGGGAAACUGGGUCUAAUACCGGAUAGGAGCCAUUUUUAGUGUGAUGGUUGGAAAGUUUUUUCGGUGUAGGAUGAGCUCGCGGCCUAUCAGCUUGUUGGUGGGGUAAUGGCCUACCAAGGCGGCGACGGGUAGCCGGCCUGGGAGGGUGGACGGCCACAUUGGGGCUGAGAUACGGCCCAGACUCCUACGGGAGGCAGCAGGGGGGAAUAUUGCACAAUGGGCGCAAGCCUGAUGCAGCGACGCCGCGGGGGGGAUGACGGCCUUCGGGUUGUAAACUCCUUUCGCUAGGGACGAAGCUGUUUGUGACGGUACCUAGAUAAGAAGCACCGGCUAACUACGUG
rnacentral:rRNA from 1 species